UCCAGAUCCUGGACAACGGCUUCUGCAGCUGCCAGGAGGACUCCAGUGUCCCCGACGGUGCCAAGUGUGCCCGCCCGCCGUACCGGCCCAGCUUCCAUUACGACUGGGACACCAGUUCUAGCAGCAUGAAUGACCCCAUGGUGGACUCGGGCAAAGCCAGUGAUGUCUCUGUGUCCAGCUGGCCCAUGGAGCCCAUGCAGUGGGCUCCAUUCCCUCUCCUCCACCAGCUUUCCAGGCAGCGACCGCAGAAGGCCCGUCGGCCACACUCGUUCUGCGAGGGGCUGGAGCUGGGCACCCUGGAGCGGAGCUGGACGGCCUGAGGGCACAGACAACAGAUGGGCAACAAGGUU